rnacentral:rRNA from 1 species
AGUGAACGCUGGCGGUAGGCCUAACACAUGCAAGUCGAACGGCAGCACAGUAAGAGCUUGCGCUUACGGGUGGCGAGUGGCGGACGGGUGAGGAAUACAUCGGACUCUACUUUUUCGUGGGGGAUAACGUAGGGAAACUUACGCUAAUACCGCAUACGCCCUACGGGUGAAAGCAGUGGAUCUUCUGACCUUGCGCGAUUGAAUGAGCCGAUGUCGGAGUAGCUAGUUGGGGGGUUAAAGGCCCACCAAGGCGACGAUCCGUAGCUGGUGUGAGAGGAUGGUCAGCCACACUGGAACGGGACCACGGUCAAGGCUCCUGCGGGAGGGAGCAGAGGGGAAUAUUGGACAAUAGGCGCAAGCCUGAUACAACCAGACCGCGUGUGUGAAGACGGCCCUCGGGUUGCGAAGCCCGUUUGUUGGGAAAGAACAGCAGCAGGUUAAUACCACGCUGUUCUGACGGUACCCAAUAAAUAAGCACCGGCUAACUACGUG